GCCGGCACAGAGCAUGCGGCUUGUGAAGGCACUGUGGAAAUGCUGCUGGCAGUGGCGACGCGGAAGCACAGAGAGGGGGGCCUGCUGUAGGGUCUUGGAGUAUGAGCGACCUGAGAGGGACGGAGAGACAGGCGGGAAGGACAUGACGGCUGAAUGACACACACUCUCCCGGCAUUUGGCCCACUGCCCCUGGUGACAGACGAACCAAGGCCAGGUCGUGAUCGUUGCUGUGAGAGCGGUAGCUUGGAUGGAGGAGAAUUUGAUCAACACCGUACUCCUCUUCGUAUUCCUCAGGGACGAGGGAGUGGUAGUCGCCCACUCUGACUUUAUAUUGCUUGGUGCUGUUUCCAUACCUGCAGAGGGAAGCAGAGGCAUGAAUCAAGAGAGACCAUUAGAGAAAGAGGGUGUGUGCUCAUGAGCAAUCCCACUGUUGAUACAUAAACCAUGAACAAUAAUAUUACGAGCUCUGGCAGGGGUUACCUCAGCAGUAGUUCAUUGAGAGCUGGAAAAAGCACACAGGCAUGAAGUCUGGACUAGAUGCCUAUGAAUAGUAGAAUACAUUUCAAAGUUUUUUUUUUUUUUUCUAAAUGUUUAAGGAUUCUUAGUGUUAUUCUCCCAGCAACAUUUUUCAUGAGGUUACCAAGGAUUACCUUUUUAUACGCAUUUUAGACCUUUCUUGUUCAAUUUUGAUCAAUUUUGUAUUUCAUAUUGUGUUUGUGUUCCCCUUGGUGCAUAUAAAUAUUUUAUAUGCUUAGACAGACAGUUAAAAGCUUUUCUGAAGUAAACAAUCAGCCAUGAGGUCUAUCUUUUUCCUCUGCUCUACCCCUUUCCCUUCAUCACCACAACAUUUUUGUAGUGCUUUUAUAUAUUCUGUCAAUUCACCAGAAACUAUAGCUAAGAAAGGGUUAUACACUUCUCACACCACUUCUAGGGGCUAAAUAAAUAAAAACUUGGACAGAGACUGAGUUUAGGAAGGAAUAAUAACAAUAAAUCUGUCAUUGCA